UACGGAGGAGGCAAGCGUUAUCCGGAAGUAUUGGGCGUAAAGCGUCCGCAGGUGGCACUUCAAGUCUGUCGUCAAAGACUGGGGCUUAACCCUGGAAAGGCGGUGGAAACUGAAGCGCUAGAGUGCGGUAGGGGUAGAGGGAAUUCCCGGUGUAGCGGUGAAAUGCGUAGAGAUCGGGAAGAACAUCGGUGGCGAAAGCGCUCUACUGGACCGCAACUGACACUCAGGGACGAAAGCUAGGGGAGCGAAUGGG
rnacentral:rRNA from 1 species